rnacentral:lncRNA from 1 species
CAAUUUGGAAACCAUUUCAGACCAGGGGCAGCCCCAGAAACCCAGUCUAGCUCGGGAUAAAUUGAUAGUCAGUGGACGCUGCGUGUUGAACUAUAAGAACUUUUGUCCUCUGAGAACCAAAAAUCUACUUCUGGGAUGAAAAGCGCUCUCACUUCUGAUUUUCAGGACUGUGAGAGUUGGAUUCCUCUGUGAACAUCCGGAUCAGUGGGCACAGCUGCAUUUCAUUGGGAACAGAAGCACACAGAGAGCCCGGGGCAAGGUACACAGCUGGAUUCAGAGUCUCUAAGUUCCAGAUGUCCUGGCAAAGCAUCAAGGGGUUGCUAUGGAAGCUGCUCAUCCCAUCAUCGCUAGCCUUGGAAGGGACUUCUGGGCACCACAGGUCCUUAUCAUUCGCUUUGUGGGCAACGACUGCAUUACUUACAAAGAGAUAUGUUUCUGAUAUUGUCUGAUGAAUCCAUAGAGAAGCUCCUCAGCGUUGGUGCUUUUUGAAAUUGCCCUUCCUGUUGCUACAGCUGAGCUGAAAGUCUCCAGAAAACAGCAAGUUAUCUAGGUACCAUUCCACCUACUUCUCCUUAAAUGCACAUAGAAGCUGAUUCCAAACCCAGAAAAGCCAAGGCCAGUCUUUCCAUUUACUUCAGUGGGUUUUUCACAGAGAGGCUGCAAUCUUUUCAUCCUAAAAUGCCAAGCAAUAAGUAAUAUACAUUAAAAAAUACUUGCCUCCUCCUCCACUCCAGCAAAAGGCCUUUCAGCAAUGAAUUAAGUCCAGUUCUUCUGCACAGGUCUGGGUGGGAGAGCCAGCAUGGGACGUACACACCCCUUGUGUGUAGUGGAAGCCAGCUUGUCUAGGGCCUUUCCCUAAAGAUGUUCAUGGCAGGGCAGGUGGAUACUCUUUAUUGUAACUCCAUAGUCUGGAGUGUUGGGCCUUAAGUUUAAUGAGCAGGCGCUGGGCGAUGUUGGAGGCCUUGGAUAUGCAGCAGGUCAGACUAAAGGACCUGGUGGUUCCUUUUAGCCAUAAACUCUAAGACUUGAAGACAGAAUAUGCUUUAGGUGCAUGCUUUCCCUUCCAGUGAGUGUACUGUAAAAACCAAACUACUGACUAAAAGGCAAGAAAAGUUCUGCCUUCAACAAGUUAUUUAAUGGGAGAUAACAGCUGUACUGGAUUAAUGUCAUCACUGCCCAUGUAAUAUUUCUUGUUUUCUGAACAGAGGCAG